rnacentral:lncRNA from 1 species
GAGUGCAGUGAAUAGAAGACACUUCUCUGCACCCCAAAAGCUCCAUGCUGAUUGCGAGAAGGAAAUGCUGGAUGGAGGGGUUCCUGGAACUACUGUGAGGGAAAUGGUAACAGAACUUUGGAUGUGGAACGUGCAGUAGGAGUUACACGAAGUGCGGGUCUGCACUUGGGGUGGUCAGCACGGCGGAUGCCCAGCAAACGCACUGCCUGGUCCACAUCCCGGAGUGGUCUCUACGCCCCAGUCGGCAUCGCAGCUGAUGGUGAAACUUUUGGUGUGGCAGAAGAGUGUCCACAAACUUUGGAAGUUGCUAGAGAAAAAUGAAACGACUAGUUUUGAAAGCCUUACUUCUGCCAAUGGAAGCACAUUCCAGCAUGUCGCCAACGCAAUCCAUUUUCCACCACUUUCACAAGAAAAGUUACGGCACAAUUAUACUAUCCUACCCUUAUAUA